AGCCCCUGCAGUGAACCACUGGGAGCUGCCUUCAGCCAUUCCAGGAAAAAAAGGGUUAAUCCUGCAAGACCCUACAGAUAUCCAGGCUCAUAGGUAUGUUGAAAAUGUCAGUGAACCCACCAUGAAUGGCCUCAAAGGAUGUGGAAACAGAAAAGCAUUGCUGUUCGUGGAUUGCCAUGGAUACCCACAAGGACCUGCUGUUCACAAAUAUCCAGUCGUCAAAAGCUCAGCAAAUCAGAUCAGAUACCCACAGUUGAAAUUGAUGUGCUGAUUUUUCUUAGAGUGAAAACUGAGAGCUGUUUUUGUGCAGGCGAGAGAAGGUCAAAGUGGAAUUUCAAGUUGCAGCACCCCAAAUGCCAUCCUUCUGGAAGGUAGCACUUAUUCACUCUGGGGAGACCUUAGAAAGAAGAAGAGUUUAUACAGGCAUCUGUGGAAAGACAUCAGACAUCAGAAGUAAACAGUCCAAACAAUUGACUGAAGUUGAAGGUUGCCUAUUUGAGUCUGUUAUUUUUAGUGGUUUGUUUUGCAUGCUGGUAUGCUCUGCAAAUAGAGCAGAACAAAUGAAACUAAUGGAUGUUGAGGGGAGAAGUUACUGGGGGGAAAAAAAGAAUGUGACUGAUGGAACCAUUUUAAAGCACAAGUUGGUUAAAGGUUAAUUAAAUAUAGGUGGCAGAUGCUGAGAAAAUUAAUGGAGUCUGGUGGCAGGGAGACAACAUAGGUAAACGUGGAUAUGGAGGCAGAACUAUUCAAUAUUUAUUGUACACCUUAGAUCACCCUAUGGAUGAUUGGCA